rnacentral:rRNA from 1 species
AACGAACGUUAGCGGCGCGCCUAACACAUGCAAGUCGUACGCGAUUGGGGGCAACUCCAGUCGAGUGGCGCACGGGUGAGUAACACGUAGGUAAUCUCCCCCCGAGUGGUGGAUAACCCUCCGAAAGGAGAGCUAAUACAGCAUGAGACCACGGCUUCGAAAGGAGCUGAGGUCAAAGCGGAGGUCGCAAGACUUCGCGCUUGGGGAUGAGCCUGCGGCCCAUCAGGUAGUUGGCGGGGUAAUGGCCCACCAAGCCAUAGACGGGUAGCUGGUCUGAGAGGAUGAUCAGCCACACUGGAACUGAGACACGGUCCAGACUCCUACGGGAGGCAGCAGUGGGGAAUCUUGCGCAAUGGACGAAAGUCUGACGCAGCGACGCCGCGUGGGUGAUGAAGGCCUUCGGGUUGUAAAGCCCUGUGGGGAGGGACGAAUAAGUUCCGGUCAAUACCCGGAGCGAUGACGGUACCUCCUUAGCAAGCACCGGCUAACUCUGUGCCAGCAGCCGCAGUAAAAC